GGGAGCUACCUGUUGCUGGCGCCUGCAUUGAAUUGGAGUCAGUUCUCUUGCCAUUAUAUAAACUGGAACAAGAAUUCCAACAGUCCUCGACAAUAGCAGCUGUUUGUCAGAGUGGGUUAGCCUGAUUUUUUUGGUGAGGCAUUGAAAAAGGAUUUCUAUGAGGAUCUAUUUGAGGAGCUGAGCAAGUAGAGAGAGAUUGAGAGUCUUAAUAUCUGCGUCAAUUUGGCUGACCACCUGGUGGGUAAUGUAUAUUUCCAUCAGCUGCACAUGGUAUUCUUCCAUCUGUGUUAACCAACUUUAGACAAUUUUAUUUGUUUUUUCUUACAAAGAGAAUGCUGAUGGAGAUAUUUAACUGUUACAUAUUCAGCACUACCGCCACUCCUGGA